rnacentral:rRNA from 1 species
CACGUAGGGCGCAAGCGUUGUCCGGAAUUACUGGGCGUAAAGGGCUCGUAGGCGGCCAACUAAGUCAGACGUGAAAUCCCUCGGCUUAACCGGGGAACUGCGUCUGAUACUGGAUGGCUUGAGUUUGGGAGAGGGAUGCGGAAUUCCAGGUGUAGCGGUGAAAUGCGUAGAUAUCUGGAGGAACACCGGUGGCGAAGGCGGCAUCCUGGACCAACACUGACGCUGAGGAGCGAAAGCCAGGGGAGCAAACGGG